GCACUGCUGAGGAGUCCCAUAAUAGGACGAAACAGCUGUCCAGUGC
rfam:Schistosoma mansoni, Puerto Rico, WGS project CABG01000000 data, contig: 0076